UAGGCUUCCUCAAUUGUCUCCCAUGCGACCUAUCCAAUCUCCACUGACGAAGCCCGUCACGCCGGCCGCAGAGCAAGGUCCUUCGCCGCCGUGACGAGGUCGGCCGCAUCGCGAUAGGGCUGCGAGGGGCGCCACGAGACUGCCGAUUGUCCUUCAAAUCCGUGACUCAGCAAAGUUGCUGGAUCUUAUGCUUUCCUUUGGAUGCCAAUGGAGAUGGUACUGCUUUACAAAUUCAGUUAGUGAGCACCUGAAAUAGUUGAUGCUGGCAUGGAUGCCACGAGUGAUUGGGUUGACAAUGAGCACCGGGAGAGGCUCUUCAAUGCGUGGUAAAAACUUCCACUGGGAAUCAUGGAGCUCUUCAGAUAAUGUGCAUGGGUGUUGAUGCAUCGGAGAAGUUGACCUGGGCGUGUAUUCAGCCUGAAAUUUUCAGGUACCAUCUUCAUUUUCGGAUCCAAUUAUUUUAUCAGAUCUUAUUUUUUACCUGAUAAUGUGCCGAACCAACGUAUGGUGUGUGGAUCCUCAAUUUGGAUCUGUGAUCUGCAAACCUAUCAGAUUCAACUAAAAGAGCUAGGACUUAGGUGGAUCUGACCUGGUUCAGUAGCUCAGGUUGACAGGUUCAUGUCACAAAUCAGCCAACAUUUGUGGCUUCCCUUGGUCCAAUGGCAAGCACCUACCCAUAAAAAUCCACUGCUAAGUUUAAUGUAUUGCAUCUGGGUGAGAGGUGGUGGUCAUUCUCCAGUUUCUGCUGCUUCGGAUUUAAUCCAGUGGGGCGAAUCCAUUAUUGUUUAAGGUGCAAUGCAUCUGUGAGGAGGACAUUUGAUUCUGCUGGCCGCUAUGCUCUCUCUUGUUGGAUCAACCUGUACAGACAUUGAUGGAUGUGGCCCAAGUGCUCAUUUUGGCUUCCAACAUCAGGUAUCAGCUGGCAACUCAUAAUUCUAUUGCUCUACAUGUUACAUACUAGCAUUAAACAUAGUUUUUUGGAGUAUCAUCAAUCAUAUUUCUGCUGGGUUUUCCCAGUUUGGUAAGCAAGGAUCAAGGUGCAUCGUACAUGGGUGCUGCUUUGGAUCCCAGUAAUGUCGUCAAGAACAAUUCAUCUACCGAGGGAACGGUAAAUGGAUCAUUUACUGUCUCACAUGGGUUAUGCUCGUGGGGUGGUCCUCCAUGGGACCACCGAGCACUAAAUCCAAUGGGGAUCUGAGCUGCGGUAACUCUCUUUCUCUCUCUAGAUUUUGCAAUCUGCCACAGUACUACUGAAUCAGGGUGCCCACCAUCUCGACCGCAUCAAUUUCUACCUGGCCUCCAAAUCUAGAUCUAUGAUAGUACCAGUGAACCUGCAGAACGCAAUCCAUUUCCUUUCCUUGUGCCCUUUGAUCUCAGCUUGAUGAUUACCUUUGUGGAUGUGAAAUCAAAGCUCUCUCCAUCCAUCCAUCUUUCUGCGUCCAUAUUCCAUCGCUUUUUGUUCUCAUGUUGCUUUCUCGGCGCUUCCUACUUCCUCGUCUUCUUCCCAUCACCUUCUGCUGGAUUGAAAUCUUAUCCUCUCCCAUCAUCGCCCUAUUGUCUACAGCUGCGGAUGUUUUAGACCACCGGAUCCUUCCAAUACAUAAAGCUGACUUGACAUGAUUUCUGUUUCCAUUACAGCUCACAUGCAUAUGGUAACAAAAUUCAUUCAUAUUCUUGGAAAUGUCAUGAUCUAAAUUAAUUACAAGAAGUCAACUUUUCGUGGGAAGAAUGAUACAGCUAUUUGUUUCUUGCUAUUUUGUUGUUUAUCUAUUCUUUUACUUGGUGGGAAGUUGAUGGCCAUAACAAUCAAAACCACAAGACAGAGAAAGGAUCCCACAACCACCUCUGCUUGGCCCCCCCGCCUGCCGCCAUUUCUUUUUAAGGGUUGGUUGGGAGCAUUGAAUUAGGCAAAGCCAAGACAUGACAUGACGCGAGUACAUCAUCCAAACUGGGUGUGAUUUGACUCCGAUUCAAGACUAGCUUAGCU